AUUUAACUUGCGUUAAACUGUAGGAACCUGGAAGUUGACUAAUAUUUCUGUUUUCCAGGUGUUGGGCGUCACUUCGGCUGCUUUAACGUACCAGUAAAGACCCUGCAGGUGAUGUCUGCGGUGUUUGAACCACCUGGAAGUGAUUGAUCAGGCUCGACGUGUUCCUGUGGGUUCUGUGCGUGAAGGAGCUGCAGGUUGACUCAGACGGUGUCCAGACAGCUGCUGAGACUGGACCGGUGUGAAGAAGACGGAUCAACGUGAAUUUAAAUGGACAAAUGAAGCUUUUCUAAAGCACUGAAGCUUUGAAAAAGGCUUCAUUACUUGAAGCUUUAAAACACAGUUCUCUUUGGCUCCACCCUGUGGCCAAAUGUAUGAAGAGCUGCUUCAAACACAAAGUGAAGCUUCAUGAGUUGACACCAGUGAAACCCAUUUACACCUGUGGCAGAAAGUAAUUUACAACUACUUGAAUAGCUGUAGUCCUGUUCUUAUGAGAACAGAAUAAAAGCAGACACACAGACA